CGGAGUAGCGGGAAGCGACUGAGGAGCGGGGAAUGGGCAGCAUUUGAAUGGAUGCGGGUGCCGCUGGCACCCGGGAAGACGCUGGGGGCCGGCGCUGUAGAGCCGGGCAUGGGCUGGGAUGUGUUUGGAUUCCAAUCCGGGCCUGACACCAGUUCAGUGACCUCGGGAAGUUCCCCAACCCUCCGGGCCUGUUUCCUCCCUCUGAAGUGGCGACAGUAGUAGAACCGACCUCGUAGGCUCAUCGGGAGGUCCUGAUGGGAGAACCCAUGCAACUUGCCACCAUAGAGCCAGGCCCGCGGCGGUUGGCGCCUGGUGGGUAUUAAAGACGAGUCGGGAAAGAAGAGCAGGUUGAUAGACUGGAUGCUGCUAUGGUAAUCUGCCUCAGGAAAAUGCCGGACUGUUGUUUGCAAGCUGGUUAAGUGAGCAAAUCUUGGGAAGAUUUCAAGGUAUUGUUAUUUCUGUUUUUAACUUGUUUGGAAAACCAUAGACCAUAAACUUUU
rnacentral:lncRNA from 10 species